CGGGUUGUUGCUACGCAACCUAAGAGUGAGUGAGUUGAUUCCACCAACGUUUCUUAGCUGGCAGUGAGAUGUUGAGCAGCUGAAGUAUUUCCUCUGCCUACAUCUCCCAGAAUGCUGUGCGGUUCUGGAUUGAAGUUCAGUGUUGAAUACAUCGUUCCCACAAGUCCGAACCGGAUAAAAGCUACAUUAGCUUGGCUAUUUUUGCUAAUUCAGCAGUAAAUAUCACUGAUAUUUAUCUUAGUAUUGGACAAAGAGCCUCCGAGAAGCGAUGAGUUACUUUUCAGCAGAAGAUUACGGUUGUACGAAUGCUGUGAGGAAAAUGGAUCAAAAGUGGGCAGUAAAGACAUUUAACAUCAGGGUGCA